AAAUCAUGUUAGGAGGGCAUUUUUUGAUUAAUUGGUUGUACCUCUCCUAGGCCUCAUAGAGAGAUUCACCCUCUUUCUGCUUGAACAUCUAUACUUCCACCCUAAGCUU